UACAGAGGUCUCAAGCGUUGUUCGGAUUCAUUGGGCGUAAAGGGUGCGUAGGCGGCGAGGUUAGUCGGAUGUGAAAUCCCAGGGCUCAACCCUGGAACUGCAUUCGAUACUGCGGUGCUUGAGGACUGGAGAGGAGACUGGAAUUCACGGUGUAGCAGUGAAAUGCGUAGAUAUCGUGAGGAAGACCAGUGGCGAAGGCGGGUCUCUGGACAGUUCCUGACACUGAGGCACGAAGGCCAGGGGAGCAAACGGG
rnacentral:rRNA from 1 species